rnacentral:rRNA from 1 species
CCUUGACGGUACCUAACCAGAAAGCCCCGGCUCACUACGUGCCAGCAGCCGCGGUAAUACGUAGGUGGCAAGCGUUGUCCGGAAUAUUGGGCGUAAAGCGCGCGCAGGCGGUUUCUUAAGUCUGAUGUGAAAGCCCCCGGCUCAACCGGGGAGGGUCAUUGGAAACUGGGGAACUUGAGUGCAGAAGAGGAGAGUGGAAUUCCACGUGUAGCGGUGAAAUGCGUAGAGAUGUGGAGGAACACCAGUGGCGAAGGCGACUCUCUGGUCUGUAACUGACGCUGAGGCGCGAAAGCGUGGGGAGCGAACAGGAUUAGAUACCCUGGUAGUCCACGCCGUAAACGAUGAGUGCUAAGUGUUAGAGGGUUUCCGCCCUUUAGUGCUGCAGCAAACGCAUUAAGCACUCCGCCUGGGGAGUACGGUCGCAAGACUGAAACUCAAAGGAAUUGACGGGGGCCCGCACAAGCGGUGGAGCAUGUGGUUUAAUUCGAAGCAACGCGAAGAA